ensembl:lncRNA novel transcript, antisense to SPHK2
AUAAACAAGAGACCAAAACAGUGGGAUUGAGAAUGUGCAAGUAUGAGGAUCUUGGCUUUUAGAUGGUCCCUUACCUGGUCCUGCUGCUCCUCUGCUUCAAGGUGUCCAUUCAUCUGCUGGUCCUCUGCUCUGUUACAUCAACGGGACCCUGGCCCUGGGUCUUAAGCCAUAGUAGGCUGGUAGGAGCAAGGAGUCAGGUCUCACUGUCCUGGCCUGACCUUCAGCUCUGUGGAGGAGAGGUCAGGGAAGGGCCAUCUAGGGGCCGGGGGAGAAGGAGAAGCGGAACUCAAAGGAUGGGAAUACAGGAUGCUAUAGAUUGAGGUGCAGCAAGAUCAUCUCGGGUUAGACCUUAAGUAGGACUUCCCAAGCAGCGGCUGCGCCUACGAAGUGCAGCGCGAGAUCAGGGAGCGGUGAACCUGAUAAGGAAACGCCCGAAGCGUGGGGUCGGAAAUUUCCAGAUGCCCCGACUAGCCCUGCCAGCCCCGCCUCCUCACCUCCAACACUGGGCCCGCCGGGUCCUCCGGGAGCCACUGAGAGGCCGUCGGCGUCGGGCCAGAGCGUCACCGCGCGACGCAUCGUGCUAGCUACACGCAUCUCGCUCCCAGAUCCCUUUCUUCCGGAAAGCUAUCGAGAACACGGCCUGGGUAGGGCCAGAGAGGCCCCCGACGUGCUGGCCCUUCCCUCUUGGACGUUGCGCUUGUUCCUGCGCUCUAUGCUCUCUGCCGUUAUCGCCCGGCUAGUCAGUCGUCCAACUCACCACAGAGAA